AUGGAGGCUGCAGUGAGCGGAGAUGGCGCCACUGCACUCCAGCCUGAGCGACAGCGAAACUCCCUCUAAAAA
rnacentral:snoRNA from 1 species